CUUCAACUGUAUCCUCAUGGUCCAUUCUGAGGUGGAGUGAGCAGAGCUAGAGAAGGUCCUAAGAGUCUUUAAAUCCAUAUUAUGGUCUCUGGAAUAGGACAUUUGCCACCCAGCACCAUCCAAGAGAGGCAAAGAACAUCAGCACCAGCAAGCCUGGAGGAAAAGGCAGUGUUUGUCUGCUGCAGGCUGCCUUUGACUUCAGCUCCUGGUGACUGGCUCCUUGCAGACUCAGGCCCUGACUGCCUGGCUGAAGCAAGGCCCAGCAGAAAUACCUGCUGCCUCCAGAGCCUGGGCCAUAAAAGGAGGAUGCCGGCGGGGGUCCAGUCACCCAGUACCUUCCAAGAGAGCCACAGAAGACCUUAAGAUCAUGUGGAGGAGUGGGUGGGAGUGCUGGUGGGCUGGCUUUUGUGUUUUAAUAUCUUAAUGUUAAUGAUUUUAAAUUGUAUUUAUAUAUUGAUUGUUUCUAUUGAUUUAAUGUUAUGUUUUAUUUGCUUUGUAUAAUGAGACGCUGAAUUUUUGCCUAUAUGUAUGUUGUAUGUCACUCUCAGUCCCCUUUGGGGUGAGAAGAGUGGGAUAGAAAGGAAGUUAAUAAUAAUAAUAAUAAUAAUAAUAAUAAUAAUAAUAAUAAACCAGUUUUCAUCUACUUGCCCAUAAGAAAUCAUGAUAACCAUAUCUAAAAAACUAGAGCUGAUGCAGUCUAUCCAAUGCAUACAGUAAGAUGUCCGAACAUUUUUCUCAUGUACCUAUAAUAUGUACCUAUAUUUUGUGCCCAUUUAACCAUACAAUCCUUCACCUGUUCUUCCUUCAUUUCCUAUUUUAACAAUUUAUAAAUGGUUGCAAUCAAAUGGUCACCCCCUCCCAAAUGUAAUAGGCUUUCUAACUCUGAUUUAACCAUUGCAAAUCCAAAUAAUUUUUAUCCAUCUUAUAUCAUUGUGAUUUGCCUAUGAGUAAACCAUUGCAUAUUAAAACCCUCCUUGUAAAUAUCACUUUAUUUCCACCCUUCUACUUUUAAUAAGUAGGUAAAGGUUUUUUCCUCACAUUAAGUCUAGUUAUGUCCGACACUCGGGAUUGGUGCUCAUCUCCAUUUCUAAGUCAAAGAGCCGCCGUUGUCCGUAGACACCUCAAAGGUCACAUGGCCAGCAUGACUGAGUGUUUUAAUAACACUCAUCUAAAUCAGAAAACCAAUAAUUGAAGAUUGUCCACAUAUCUUCAUCAGCCAUUCUUUUUGCAUCAGGAUAUCUGGUUCUUUCCAUCCCUGGACAUAGAUUAUUCUCGCUGCAGUAAUAAUAUUUAACAGUAAC
rnacentral:lncRNA from 11 species